rnacentral:piRNA from 1 species
AGAAAGAAAAAAGAAAGAAAGAAA